GAUCAACUUGGAAUACAUUUCAGAAAAUGAUGCUUCACCGUCAACAACCACACAAUUCUUUCCACAACUACAAGAACUCUGGCUCACGGAACUACCUCAGUUAAAGGGAUGGUGGAAAAAUGGAGACAAUAAUAAUGGUGGGCUGGCUACAUUUCCUUGUCUUUCAAAAUUGGUCAUUGAAGACUGCCCAAAUUUGGAUUCCAUGCCACUGUUCCCGACUCUAGAAGAAGGUCUUAUUGUGGAUGCAACUCACUUGAAGCCAUUCAGUCUCACCAUGUCCCACUCCAACCAAUCAUCAUCAUCGUUUGCUCCUCUCUCCAAAUUGAAGAAUAUGUGUAUUGUUGGCAUGAAAGAGCUUGUUGACUCCGAAGCUCGUCAGAUUAAGUGGGGUACAUUGGAAAGCUUGCAAUUUCUGAGAUUAGAUUAUCUUCCACUCACCACUCUUCCUGUAGGGUUUGGAGUAAUGAUUACUUUGCAAGAGCUUAAUGUAUGGCGUUGUGCUAUAACCAACAUCGAUGAGGUUGAAGCUCUCAAACUUCUUGAGAAACUUGUGAUUCGAGUGUGCCCCCAAUUGAAGUCGCUACCACAAGGAAUUGGUCGACUUGAGAAUCUAACAACAUUGGAGAUUGAUGACUGUCCCACCUUAUUAAAGAGAUGCGAGAAGGAAAUAGGUGCAGAUUGGGAAAAGAUUGCUCACAUUCCGAAAAUCCGCUUGGGUCAGAUUGAAGGGAGGUGAUUCUUCCUUCCUUAAUUCCCAUUCAGAAGCUAGGAUUUUUUUUUUCUUUUUUCUCUUUUUAAAGUAGAAGAAUUCAUUUGAAAGAGUUGGAAUAGUAGAGAUUAGGAGUACAUUUGAUAAUCAAUAUUGCUGGCUAGCUGCUUAAAAUUCCUACCUUAUUUUUACAGACAUAAUUAGUUGGAGCUAGAUAUGAUUCGAAACACACUGCUUUAGAGGAAAUUAGCAUAGCUAUUGACCUGCCACCACUAAUUAUCAUUUCCUGGGUCAUCAUCAUCUCUAGAAAAGAAAACAAAUUACAAGAUAUGAUGAUACUUGAGAUAUUAUUAUUUCAUGAUAUUGUAUAUAUGCAAAAUCAAAAGUAAAAGAGAUUAAUAAGGCUUGUAAAGCUGUACCUUUUGGAGAUUUGAUUAAAAAAGCAGAGCAAUUUCAGAACACCAAGCUUUGUUAUAAGAUGGAAAUGACUUAAUUACCUGUUUGAAGAGGGCACGCCAUUAGCCAAGCACGAAGAGUAGAAGCUCUCGUUCUCACAAAGGAAAGGAUCCGAAGUUCUCAUUCUCACAAAGGAAGGCAACGGUUCGAAGCUCUCAUCAGAAACUGCCCUCAUUCUCAUCAGAGAGUUGACCUUGUUUUCGUAAACCAUUGCUUGUGUUGCAGCUGGUUUAGUAGUGUUUUCCACUCCAAAAGCUUCGAUGAAGCUCCAUUUUCAUCUCGGUUAAGGUUUGAUCUUCUAGAUAUUUGCAUCAAUGGAACAAAAGAGAAGCUAAACUCAACUGUUAUAAGCCAGGUUAAGUGCUGAUAGAUCACACGACAGACAAAAGCUCUUCAAGCUGCAGGGACCAUCCAUACUGAUUUGUGAGAGGUUUCAUCUGUGCUGAGAAUGCAAAAUGACCAGAAGUUAAAAAAGAAAGAUUGAAACUAGCGAAAGUUUGAGCGAGGAAACACAAUCCGACUCUUUUACUGAAUCAUACAGUCAAAAAUCAUCUCCCAGUGUUAAGAAGUGUUAUGCAUUCCCAGAUUUCCUGAGUAAAUAUUAUGACGAAUAUAAACGGUUGCAUCCUGAACUUAGAGUUGAUGAAAUUUGUACUAAGUUGGGAGGAAUAUUGGAUUUGGUGCAAUGUUGGAUUUGAAGAUGGACUGUGUGAAGAGCAAGUUAGCUAUGUGGUUCAUUGAUUAGAUUGACGAUGGCAGGAGGGUACUUACUGUGGGUACCAUGAUUUGAUUUUCAACAUGCAUAAGAAAGCCACUACCAUCGAUGACUUGGAGAAAGUAAUUGAUCGAAGCAAGACAGCAGAUGAGCUCUUUCUCAUGUGUUACAUAUUGUUCGUAAUUGCGGUCGUUCUUUGUCCAACGUCGGGAAAUCAUGUUAAGAAAGCAAACCUAUCCAUUGUAUGCAAUUUGGAGUCUAUUAAGAAUUUUAAUUAGGCAACACACACCCUCAACUUUCUCUGUGAGCAAAUUCAACGUUUGAAGCGGGGAGAGAUUCAUUACAUGCCCGGUUGUUUGCUCUUCCUACA